GCGCGGAAACUCUACAAUGCACGAAAGUGUGAUAGGGGAACCCUAAGUGCCUAUGUUUUACAUAGGCUUUUGCCAAGAGUAAAUAUCUUGGCGAAUAAGUGGUGGGUAAGACUGGUGCCAGCAGCCGCGGUAACCCCAGCGCCACAAGUGGCAGCCACAAUUAUUGGGCCUAAAGCGUCCGUAGCCGGUUAGGUAAAUCCUUUGUGAAAUCAUCGUGCUCAACGCGAUGGCGUGCAGGGGACACUGCCUGACUUGGGACCGGGAGGAGUCGGGGGUAUUCCAGGGGUAGCGGUAAAAUGUUAUAAUCCUUGGAGGACCACCUGUGGCGAAGGCGCCCGACUAGAACGGAUUCGACGGUGAGGGACGAAAGCCAGGGGAGCGAACCGG
rnacentral:rRNA from 1 species